rnacentral:misc_RNA from 1 species
AACGGUCUAUACCUGCGGUACCUGCGGAAGGAUCAUUACCGAGUUAUCAACUCCCAAACCCCUGUGAACAUACCCGAACGUUGCCUCGGCGGGACCGCCCCGGCGCCCCUAGCGGCCCGGAACCAGGCGCCCGCCGGAGGACCCAAACUCUUGCUUUAAACAGUGGCAUACUCUCUGAGUCUCACAAACAAAAAUAAAUCAAAACUUUCAACAACGGAUCUCUAGAUCGGAAGAGCACAC